UGAGGAAUAUUGCACAAUGGGCGAAAGCCUGAUGCAGCAACGCCGCGUGAGGGACGAAGGCCUUCGGGUCGUAAACCUCUUUUCUGAGGGAAGAGAUCAGGACGGUACCUCAGGAAUAAGUCUCGGCUAACUACGUGCCAGCAGCCGCGGUAAAACGUAGGAGGCGAGCGUUAUCCGGAUUUACUGGGCGUAAAGCGCACGCAGGCGGUUCCGUUAGUCGGACGUGAAAGCUCCUGGCUUAACUGGGAGAGGCCAUUCGAUACUGCGGGACUUGAGGUUGGGAGAGGAGUGUGGAAUUCCCGGUGUAGUGGUGGAAUGCGUAGAGAUCGGGAGGAACACCUGUGGCGAAAGCGGCACUCUGGCCCACACCUGACGCUGAGGUGCGAAAGCGUGGGUAGCAAACAGG
rnacentral:rRNA from 1 species